GGAGGCAGGCAGAGAGAGAGGAGGAAGCAGGCUUGCUGUAGAGCAGAAAGCCUGAUGUGGGACUCGAUUCCAGGACUCUGGGAUCACGACCUGAGCUGAAGGCAAAGGCUUUAACCCACUGAGCCACCCAGGCACCCCUCUUCUUACCCUCUUUAAUGGCUUUAUUCUUUUUCUUUUUGUUUUGCUCCAGCAGGGUACUGGAACCUUUCAGCUGGAUUCCUGGACUCCUACAAAGUGGCUGGAACUUCAAGUAUAGGGUAAAUAAAAUUGCUUAAGAUCUUCCUUGGUCUUGACAAAGAGCACAAACAGUCAGAGUGGCAGGCCGAGGCAGAGAGAGAGAAGCAGGAUCCCCGUUGAACAAGGAGCCUGGUGUGGGACUCGAUCCCAUGACUCUGGGAUCAUGACCUGAGCCGAAGGCAGUGGCUUAACUGAACGAGUCACCCAGGUGUCCCCCAAAUGUAGUAUGUUUUAUAACUUUUAUCCUUAAUAUUUUUCAUGUUUGUGACCCAGGGAACAUUUUCUAGUUUCCACAAUAAAUUACAAUAUUAGGUGGAUAAAGUACCCACUUCAGUAACAUUGUUUUGUUUUAUUUUAUGUUAUUUUAUUUUAUAAACAUAUAUUUUUAUCCCCAGGGGUACAGGUCUGUGAAUCACCAGGUUUACACACUUCACAGCACUCACCAAAGCACAUACCCUCCCCAAUGUCCAUAACCCCACCCCCUUCUCCCAAACCCCCUCCCCCCAGCAACCCUCAGUUUGUUUUGUGAGAUUAAGAGUCACUUAUGGUUUGUCUCCCUCCCAAUCCCAUCUUGUUUCAUUUAUUCUUCUCCUACCCACUUAAGCCCCCAUGUUGCAUCUCCACUUCCUCAUAUCAGGGAGAUCAUAUGAUAGUUGUCUUUCUCUGCUUGACUUAUUUCGCUAAGCAUGAUACUCUCUAGUUCCAUCCAUGUUGUCGCAAAUGGCAAGAUUUCAUUUCUUUUGAUGGCUGCAUAGUAUUCCAUUGUGUUAUUUUAUUUUAAAGAUUGAUUUUAUUUGAGAGAGAGAGAGAGAGAGAGAGAGAGAAAGAGAGACUGUGUGCACAAGCAGGGGGAGGGGCAGAAGGAGAGGGAGAAGCAGGUUCCCUGCUCAGGGAACCUGAUGGAAUGUAGAACUCCAACUCAGGACUUGAGGAUCAUGGCCUGAGUAGAAAAGGCAGAUCCUUAACCAACUGAGUGAUGGGAGCAACUCAAAUAAUGUGAACAAGUCAGUAGUCAAUAUUACAGUGCUGUCACACAUUCUUUGACUUAACAAAUGGCUUAUUACACGCUAAAGAGAACUUUUAAAAAAUUCCCUGGGUUAACACAAAAAUUAAGUUGAAUAUACAUAUGUUUCUAAAAUAAUAAACUUCAAAAUUUUUAUAAUGCAAUUCAGGUAUUCUUGUAGACAAGUUAGAAUGUAAGAAUAACCAAAAAGAAAAAUAGGGUUGCCUGGGUGGCUCAGUGGGUUAAGCCUCUGCCUUCGGCUCAGGUCACGAUCUCAGGGUCCUGGGAUUGAGCCCCACAUCAGGCUUUCUGCUCAGCAAGAAGCCUGCUUCUCCCCCUCUCUCUCUGCUUGCCUCUGCCUACUUGUGAUCUCUGUCUGUCAUAUAAAUAAAUAAAAUCUUAAAAAAAAUAAACAGCACUCCUAAUGUUACCUUUUAAAGCACUUACUUAUUGUUAAUAUUUGGUAUACAUAUAUGUCUCAUAUAUAUAUAUGUAUAUAUAUAUAUAUAUAUAUAUAUAUGCCAAACUAUACACUUUUUUCCCCAAGCAUUUGUCCUAACCUUAUAUGUAUAAUUAUAUACAUAUCUGGAAUGAUAAAUGUAUGAUGAAUGAUAAUGAUAAAUAUUAGACAUCUGACCCAAUAUAUUAGAUAUAUCACAUAUCUGACUCAAAAAAAUUUG